GACGAACCGUGCGAACGUUGUUCGGAAUCACUGGGCUUAAAGGGCGCGUAGGCGGCUGUACAAGUCAAAGGUGAAAUCCCUCGGCUCAACUGAGGAACUGCCUUUGAAACUGUACGCUUGAGGCCGGGAGGGGUGAGGCGGAAGUUCCCAGUGUAGCGGUGAAAUGCGUAGAUACUGGGAGGAACACCAGUGGCGAAGGCAGCCCCCUGGGCCAAUACUGACGCUCCAUGCACGAAAGCGUGGGGAGCAAACAGG
rnacentral:rRNA from 1 species